rnacentral:rRNA from 2 species
UGUUUGUUAGGGAAAGAACAAAGUACCGUUUCGAAUAGGGCCGGUACCUUGACGGUACCUUAACCAGAAAGCCACGGCUAACUACGUGCCAGCAGCCGCGGUAAUACGUAGGUGGCAAGCGUUGUCCGGAAUUAUUGGGCGUAAAGCGCGCGCAGGCGGUCUCUUAAGUCUGAUGUGAAAGCCCACGGCUCAACCGUGGAGGGCCAUUGGAAACUGGGGGACUUGAGUGCAGAAGAGGAGAGUGGAAUUCCACGUGUAGCGGUGAAAUGCGUAGAUAUGUGGAGGAACACCAGUGGCGAAGGCGGCUCUCUGGUCUGUAACUGACGCUGAGGCGCGAAAGCGUGGGGAGCAAACAGGAUUAGAUACCCUGGUAGUCCACGCCGUAAACGAUGAGUGCUAGGUGUUGGGGGGGUUCCACCCUCAGUGCUGAAGUUAACACAUUAAGCACUCCGCCUGGGGGAGUACGACCGCAAGGUUGAAACUCAAAGGAAUUGACGGGGGGCCCGCACCAAGCAAGUGGAGCAUGGUGGUUUAAUUUCGAAGCAACGCCGAAAGAACCUUAACCAGGUCUUUGGACAUCCUUCUGGCCAUCUCCUAAANAGAUAGGAACGUUCCCCCUUCCGGGGGACAAAGAGUGACAGGGGUGGUGCAAUUGGUUGUUCGUCACGUCUCGUGGUCCGUGAAGAUUUGUUGGGUUAAGUCCCCCGCACACCGAGCGGCAAACCUCUUAGAAUCUUAGUAGUGUCUCAGCACUUCAGUAUGGGCACUCUAAGGUGACUGCCGGUGACAAACCGGAGGAAGGUGGGGACGACGUCAAAUCAUCAUGCCCCUUAUGACCUGGGCUACACACGUGCUACAAUGGACGGUACAAAGGGCAGCAACACCGCGAGGUGAAGCGAAUCCCAUAAAGCCGUUCUCAGUUCGGAUUGCAGGCUGCAACUCGCCUGCAUGAAGCCGGAA